rnacentral:rRNA from 1 species
GAUGAACGCUGGCGGCGUGCCUAAUACAUGCAAGUCGAGCGAACAGACGAGGAGCUUGCUCCUUCGACGUUAGCGGCGGACGGGUGAGUAACACGUAGGUAACCUACCUAUAAGACUGGGAUAACUUCGGGAAACCGGAGCUAAUACCGGAUAAUAUUUCGAACCGCAUGGUUCGAUAGUGAAAGAUGGCUUUGCUAUCACUUAUAGAUGGACCUGCGCCGUAUUAGCUAGUUGGUAAGGUAACGGCUUACCAAGGCAACGAUACGUAGCCGACCUGAGAGGGUGAUAGGCCACACUGGAACUGAGACACGGUCCAGACGCCUACGGGAGGCAGCAGUAGGGAAUCUUCCGCAAUGGGCGAAAGCCUGACGGAGCAACGCCGCGUGAGUGAUGAAGGUCUUCGGAUCGUAAAACUCUGUUAUUAGGGAAGAACAAACGUGUAAGUAACUGUGCACGUCUUGACGGUACCUAAUCAGAAAGCCACGGCUAACUACGUG